GCUACCAUGAGAAAUAAAGCCAAAUCCUUGCUCCCGACACCAUUCACCAAGCCACAAAUUAAAGUCCCUAAUACGCAUCCGCCUGUCGUUCUGAGUGUUAUGCACAGGCAGAACUUCAGAGAAUGACAGUGUGGAAGCAACCUGCCGUAUAUCAUUGGCAAAAACCCUAAAAACUUCCUUAACCUCUGAAACCUCAUUGCAAGCCAAGUCAUUUGUCCCUAGAUGGACAAGUACAUCCAAUUCCCCUUCCUGCUUUGCUUGCUUAUCAAUAUUACAGAUACAUCUCCUGUCUCUGUGAGCAGUAGCUCCGGGAAGACACCUCACAAGACCACCAUUGUCCAUCUCCACACCUCUUAUAAUGGAAUCCCCCAACAACAACUGCUUUCUGUUAGGCCUCACCAUAGUCUCCAAACCGGUCUCCACAACACCACUAGUCUCAGUGCCUCUCUCCACAACACCACUAGCCUCAGUGCCUCUCUCCACAACACCAUUACACUCUGAAAGUGCAGAAAAUGAAUUAUGAAGAGCAACAGACUGUGCAAAAUGCCUUUUAUGCACAACUCUAAGUCUACCAGAUCCUACAGUAAUCCAUCUGCCUUUCCUAGCAUGUCUCUGCGGCAGUGGCUUUGCAGCAGGUCCAGUCUGAGUUUCUUCACCAGAUAAUUUACAAAUCUCAGACUUCAAAAAUACAAUCUCCUGCCGCAAGAUAGAGAACUGUCUACAGAUUAGACAACAACCAGACCUCCAAAAAGUGGAACGUGAAACAAAUGCAUAGCAAUUGUUACACUGAACUAAGUCUGCCAUUCCAAUUAUGAGAAUAAUUUAAAUCUAACAAAUCUUAACUUUUUUCUUUAUCCUCCUGAAUACCUCAAAUUACCUCCUGGUUAUCUCCAGAAUAUCUCCAACUACACACUUAGAAACAGCACUUAGAAGUAGCACCAAGUUAUGGUUUUAUGGGGGAUGAAGGGAAUGCUAUCCAAUGCCCACUACGUAUAUACAAGGCCCCAGGGAGAGUGCGCAGCUUAGCGGACAGGGGCACAUGUAUGAGUGUAUAUAUAUGUAUGAGAUCCUUAUGUCAUUUCCGGGUUGUAUGGUGUGGUCGGAGGUCGUGGCGAGGAACUAUUGGCGGCGGCACACAUCUGGAGUGCGUUGGAGCGCUGCCGCGAAGGGUUCCACCGUUGGGUUUCGCGGUUCGUUAUAGGGGUUUGGGGAAUGCCCAUUUCAUCAGGUUUUGAGAAGGAGGCGGCAGAUUUGUUGCGGCCAGAUGGGGUUCAUUUGACUGAGGUCGGGCACGACCGUUUUAAUCUGUCCAUUCUAGAGACGGUGGAACAGGCCAUGGUUGGUUUGUUUGGGGUCCCACACUGAUUUUAGGCUUAAAACAGCGGAGUUGUGGCGGGGUGUGUCCUUGCCAAAUAAGAUUAGAUGAAAAAGUGGGAUAAUGGCCGGGUCUCAUCCUCCCCCUGUCUCUUAUGGUGAACCUGGAGAAGGUACCAGGUUGGUCAUGUCCCCACUGGGUUGUAAGUCGACCAGUGGGGAGCAUUAUGGUUGGGCCCUACCGAGUUGGUGGGGAGACCUGAAAAGGAAGAUGUUUUUAUUAUGCCAAGGGGUGGAGGUGAGAGCCUUGGGAAAGUUAGAUUGGCAAGGGCGGUUUCUUUGGUUACUGUAUGACUAUAUGCAAAUUGUUUAUGUUAAUUUAUGAUAUUUAUUAUUUCGUUAUAUGUUAAAGGAGUCAUACAGUAUUUGGUUGUGUUAAUAAAUGCUGUGGCCUGUUUUCUCCAAGAAGUUGUCUGUCGUUAUUUGAAGGGGUAAGUUAUGGUUUUAUGGGGGAUGAAGGGAAUGCUAUCCAAUGCCCACUACGUACAUACAAGGCCCCAGGGAGAGUGC